UGCAGUCGUACGAGAGUUUUUAACUCAAGUGGCGGACGGGUGAGUAACACGUAAGAAUUUGCCUUUAGGAGGGGGACAACAACUGGAAACGGUUGCUAAUACCCCAUAUGCUUUCGAGUGAAAUGGAUUUUUCCGCCUAAAGAGAAGCUUGCGGCUGAUUAGCUUGUUGGUGAGGUAAUGGCUCACCAAGGCGACGAUCAGUAUCUGGUUUGAGAGGACGAUCAGACACACUGGAACUGAGACACGGUCCAGACUCCUACGGGAGGCAGCAGUGGGGAAUUUUCCGCAAUGGGCGAAAGCCUGACGGAGCAAUACCGCGUGAGGGAUGACGGCCUAUGGGUUGUAAACCUCUUUUUUCAGGGAGGAAUCAAAUGACGUGUACCUGAAGAAUAAGCAUCGGCUAACUCCGUGCCAGCAGCCGCGGUAAGACGGAGGAUGCAAGUGUUAUCCGGAAUCACUGGGCGUAAAGCGUCUGUAGGUGGUCCAAUAAGUCAACUGUUAAAUCUUGGGGCUCAACCUCAAAAUCGCAGUCGAAACUAUUAGACUAGAGUAUAGUAGGGGUAAAGGGAAUUUCCAGUGGAGCGGUGAAAUGCGUAGAGAUUGGAAAGAACACCGAUGGCGAAGGCACUUUACUGGGCUAUUACUAACACUCAGAGACGAAAGCUAGGGUAGCAAAUGGGAUUAGAUACCCUGGUAGUCC
rnacentral:rRNA from 1 species